GUGGGGAAUUUUGGACAAUGGGCGCAAGCCUGAUCCAGCAAUGCCGCGUGAGUGAAGAAGGCCUUCGGGUUGUAAAGCUCUUUUGUCAGGGAAGAAACGGUUGGGGUUAAUACCUCCGGCUAAUGACGGUACCUGAAGAAUAAGCACCGGCUAACUACGUGCCAGCAGCCGCGGUAAUACGUAGGGUGCAAGCGUUAAUCGGAAUUACUGGGCGUAAAGCGUGCGCAGGCGGUUUUGUAAGUCUGUCGUGAAAGCCCCGGGCUUAACCUGGGAAUUGCGAUGGAGACUGCAAGGCUUGAAUCUGGCAGAGGGGGGUAGAAUUCCACGUGUAGCAGUGAAAUGCGUAGAGAUGUGGAGGAACACCGAUGGCGAAGGCAGCCCCCUGGGUCAAGAUUGACGCUCAUGCACGAAAGCGUGGGGAGCAAACAGG
rnacentral:rRNA from 1 species